GUAGUCAAUGUUAAUCCCGAUAUCUAGGCCAAAUAUCUCUCCAUUCCGGGUCAUCUUCUCUUAUAUCUCUCUUUCGGCUGAUUUAAAGAAUUGUAACCCUCAUUCUUUUCCCUAUCUCUCUUCAGCAACUCCAUAACAAUCGACCACCACGAACAGAAAAAACACCAUCAAAACCACCACUUAUUGCCAUCGGUAAACCUUAUUUUGGUCACCUGUCAGAUUUUCUCAACUUCUUUAUGCCUCUUUUGAAACAAAGGUAUGCAGAGUUUGUUAUCAAGUUCAAAUAUGUUGCAGAUUCCAUUUUUGUGCAUUUGUUUGUGAUUUUUGUUGCUUGAUUCUUUCACCUUUUUUACAAGCUCUAAAUGAAAAUCUGUAUUAUUUUGAUUUUUCAAUCCAGAGCAGGAAUGGUUCAAAUCGAGCACCAGGUUUGAUCUUUUUACUUUCUUUAUUAUUGUUGUUAUCUAAUUUCCCAGGUUUGAUUUUAUUUAUCAUCACUUUUGUCAAUUGCUUUUACCCCCACACUCACCACCUUCUAUUUCUCUUACGCUUCCUCUAUUUAAGAAAAACCCUAAAACGUCACGCACCACCAUUUACCAUUGUCAUCCUCACCUUUUCGCACUUAGGCUUCUCCCCAACGUUUCUGGCCCCAUAGAUUCAUUUUGAUUUUAACACGAUUUGAAAGAAAUAAUUUUUUUUGUCAAUAUGGUUCCAAUACAAGUGCUAUACUUGAAUUUUCUUCGUUUAAUUAAAUCCUUCUAUGUCAGUGUUAAGAUAUAUCAAAGAAGCUUUAUUUUUUAAUUAGUAGUAUUGGGGAUAAGUGGAUUGUUUUUUUUUUUAAUUUUUUUUCAAUGGGGCUAAAUGUUUAGUUGAAUCAAAGACGAUCAAUCAAGUGUGAUAAUGUAUAAUUAUAACCCUUUUCCUUUCCUUCUUUCUGCUUGCUAAUUUUUUAAUAGUUCGAUAGAUGAAUGUUAUAUAUCUGACCUUUUAGUGGCAGUUCAUGAAGCUUUAUCAAUAUGUAUCCAUGGUGGAGUGAUUUGGAUGUCAACAUGUUAACCAUGGGCUUUUUGAAUUUCACUUUUAG
rnacentral:lncRNA from 1 species